CCUACGGGCUGCACCAGUGGGGAAUAUUGCACAAUGGGCGCAAGCCUGAUGCAGCCAUGCCGCGUGUAUGAAGAAGGCCUUCAGGUUGUAAAGUACUUUCAGCGGGGAGGAAGGGAGUAAGGUUAAUAACCUUAUCCAUUGACGUUACCCGCAGAAGAAGCACGGGCUAACUCCGUGCCAGCAGCCGCGGUAAUACGGAGGGUGCAAGCGUUAAUCGGAAUUACUGGGCGUAAAGCGCACGCAGGCGGUCUGUCAAGUCGGAUGUGAAAUCCCCGGGCUCAACCUGGGAACUGCAUUCGAAACUGGCAGGCUGGAGUCUUGUAGAGGGGGGUAGAAUUCCAGGUGUGGCGGUGAAAUGCGUAGAGGUCUGGAGGAAUACCGGUGGCGAAGGCGGCCCCCUGGACUAAGACUGACGCUCAGGUGCGAAAGCGUGGGGAGCAAACAGGAUUAGAUACCCCUGUAGUC
rnacentral:rRNA from 1 species